GACGAACGCUGGCGGCGUGCUUAACACAUGCAAGUCGAACGGAAAGGCCCUGCUUUUGUGGGGUGCUCGAGUGGCGAACGGGUGAGUAACACGUGAGUAACCUGCCCUUGACUUUGUGAUAACUUCAGGAAACUGGGGCUAAUACCGGAUAGGAGCUCCUGCUGCAUGGUGGGGGUUGGAAAGUUUCGGCGGUUGGGGAUGGACUCGCGGCUUAUCAGCUUGUUGGUGGGGUAGGGGCUUACCAAGGCUUUGACGGGUAGCCGGCCUGGGAGGGUGACCGGCCACAAUAGGACUGAGAGACGGCCCAGACGCGUACGGGAGGCAGCAGUGGGGAAUAUUGCACAAUGGGCGGAAGCCUGAUGCAGCAACGCCGCGUGCGGGAUGACGGCCUUCGGGGUGUAAACCGCUUUCGCCUGUGACGAAGCGUGAGUGACGGUAAUGGGUAAAGAAGCACCGGCUAACUACGUG
rnacentral:rRNA from 1 species